rnacentral:rRNA from 1 species
UACGUAGGGGGCAAGCGUUGUCCGGAAUCAUUGGGCGUAAAGCGCGCGUAGGCGGUCCGAUAAGUCCGCUGUGAAAGUCGGGGGCUCAACCCUCGGAUGCCGGUGGAUACUGUCGGGCUUGAGUACGGAAGAGGCGAGUGGAAUUCCUGGUGUAGCGGUGAAAUGCGCAGAUAUCAGGAGGAACACCAAUUGCGAAGGCAGCUCGCUGGGACGUUACUGACGCUGAGACGCGAAAGCGUGGGGAGCAAACAGG